AGGCUGCCAGCAGUGCGUCAUAGCAAUUGCGGUGAAUUACAGAGGUUUAAUUCGGCGCCGAUAAUUAACUGUCGAUUUCGCGCCACGGGACUGGCUGUGUUGUCGCGCGCGACCAGGGCGCGAGUUUCGACGACCAAGCGCGCGCCAAGCCUCGCCUGUGAGAAGAAAAAGUUCAGUUGCCAGUUUAUGAAAGAAAAACGCAUGGCAAAAUCUCUUGGUCACCUUUCAAUUUUCUGUCGAAGUAAUAAAGAGACAAACAAGAGCAGCGGAGAAAUUCCCAGAAAGCAAAUAUCAUAGUGUGCGGUGCCUAUGAUGAGAAAUAAAACUGUCGACUCACAUGUCCACACAAAUGUGAGUGAGCAGAAUAGAAACGACGCGGGCGACACCUCGAACCAAAACGAAGACGCUUCAGACGGCAGAAGUUCAGUGGAAGGACUUGUCAACUUCAACUUGUGAAGCUGAAUCUUCAUGACUGCGGUGGUUUGGAGAAAAGGACCAAGUGCACUCCAGGAAGCAUUCAUUGCGAACAACAGGCAGAAGGUGCAAGCACAGAUAAUAGCCUCUGGCUGUGAAAUCCCCCAAGAAAGUCACACGGCUGAGGGACCAGCAACAUGCAGAAAUUAACCAGGUGUACAGAGGGACCUGGGCAAACCAUGAGAGACCCCAUGCUCACAUAUACAAACACA
rnacentral:lncRNA from 1 species